rnacentral:rRNA from 1 species
CUACGGGGGGCUGCAGUGAGGGAUUUUGCGCAAUGGGGGAAACCCUGACGCAGCAACGCCGCGUGAGUGAAGAAGGCCCUUGGGUCGUAAAGCUCUGUCAACAGGGAAGAAGUUAUGGAUUUUUAAUAGAGAUUUGUAUUGACGGUACCUGUGAAGGAAGCACCGGCUAACUCCGUGCCAGCAGCCGCGGUAAUACGGGGGGUGCAAGCGUUAUUCGGAAUUAUUGGGCGUAAAGGGCGCGCAGGCGGCCUUGUCAGCCAGAUGUGAAAGCCCAGGGCUCAACCCUGGAUGUGCAUUUGAAACAGCAAGGCUUGAGUACGGUAGAGGAAAGGGGAAUUCCUGGUAUAGAGGUGAAAUUCGUAGAUAUCAGGAGGAACACCGGUGGCGAAGGCGCCUUUCUGGACCUGUACUGACGCUGAGGCGCGAAGGCGUGGGUAGCGAACAGGAUUAGAUACCCCUGUAGUC